CAGUCGCCGCGGUAAUACGAAGGGGGCUAGCGUUGCUCGGAAUCACUGGGCGUAAAGGGAGCGUAGGCGGCGUGGUAAGUCAGAUGUGAAAUCCCGGGGCUCAACCCCGGAACUGCAUCCGAUACUGCCAUGCUAGAGGAUUGGAGAGGUAGCUGGAAUUCUUGGUGUAGCAGUGAAAUGCGUGGAGAUCAAGAGGAACACUCGUGGCGAAAGCGAGCUACUGGACAAUAACUGACGCUGAGGCUCGAAGGCCAGGGUAGCGAAAGGGAUUAGAUACCCCCGUAGUCCCUGUCUCUUAUCC
rnacentral:rRNA from 1 species